CCUGGGUCAUGAGUUCCAAACCUAUGCUAAGCCUCAGAUUUUAAAUGUAAUAUGCCAAAACCUUUAUCAGCGCACAGAAAUGAAUCAAGGCCACAAGCUUUAAAAUACACUACCGUGAAAGAGUUCAUCAUACCAACCCAAGCACAUUCCAAAAGUAAAUAAAUGGGUGUCUCAAUGCUCCCAAGCAUUAAUAAAAGGGCUUGAAACAACAACAGAAAUAAAAAUCCCUCAUGACAUUCAAACAGGAUCCUCCCCAAAGAUUUAAAUAUGCCAUUACUGUCCUCUCAGUGCCACUAACAGCCUUACAAAAACAAUGUUAUGAAAUUUUAGCAUAAGAAGGUGACUGCAUAUCUUGUCAAGAGCUAAAAAUCAAACAGGGAAGCAGAGUUCUAAAUUUCUUUAUAAUUGCCUCAUUGAAUUAAUAAUACUAAUAACCAGGAGGAGAGGUCCAGCUUAAUUUUUCACAAACGUAGAUUAGAUGAUUUUCCUAAGGCCCCUAGCACAAGCCAAGAUCAAAAUUCCUCAUGGUUUCCCCUGGCUUAUGGUUUGAACACUGAGUCAUCCGUGCUUGAUCAAAACAUGGGUACCCUUGAGGUCGCACAAGUGAUAAAGUCAACUAAAAAAAGAGACCUCAGGAAAAAACCACUCAUUAUAUAACGUUUCUAAGAGCGAAACAUUUCUCUUCAACUGGAUUCCUAAGACAUUUUUGUACAUUAAAUUUAUUGACAACAACAUAACAGAUCAUAGAGGGAACACACAGACCACAAUACUUGGGUGGAAGGGGACGGCGUUUAACCUGAUACAAGUCUACGGAGUUACGGAAUCAAUUGACUGAAAUAUCAAAUUCUCUGCCAGAAGAAUUUCCAAACACCGGGGUUAUCUCAAAGAUAAAUGGGGUCGGCUCAAACUUCCAGGCUGAACCUCAAUUGCUGGCCCCUCGAGCUUAACAUGCAAGUAUUCAUUAUGGUCCUUUUGUCUGUGGAAUGACCCCACACACCAAGCCACAGCCAAGGGAAUAACAAGUGACGUUUCAUGGGUCAGUGGAGUAUGCAUCAGGGAAUCAGAGCCUGGAUUCAUUCAGCUGCCCACUCCCCUGCUGUGAUGCUGUGACCACACCUGCCUUCACUCCAGGAGGGGUCCCGGGCACGGGCAUGCAGGACAUUUGGAAAGCAAAGAGAUCUGGUUAGCUUUUCAGUUCAGUUCGGUCGCUCAGUUGUGUCUGACUCUUUGCGACCCCAUGAAUCGCAGCACGCCAGGCCUCCAUCGAGUCGGUGAUGCCAUCCAGCCAUCUCAUCCUCUGUUGUCCCCUUCUCCUCCUGCCCCCAAUCCCUCCCAGCAUCAGGGUCUUUUCCACUCUGUGCUCUGUGACAACAUAAAGGAGUGGGAUGGGGUCGGGGGGGAGGUUCAAAAGGAGGGGACAUAUGUAUACCUAUGGUUGAUUCACAUUCAUAUAUAGCAGAUGCCAACACAACAUUAUAAAGUAAUUAUCCUCCAAUUAAAAAUAAUUUUUUUAAAAAAUGAUGCACAUUUUUUUCACAUUUAAUGUCUUUGAAUUCAGGAUACAUCUGUCUUAGCCCUGUGUACUAGGCAAGGUAAGAGUCCCCCAAAUUCAUGUCCAUCCGGAAACUCAGAAUGUGACCUUGUUUGGAA
ensembl:lncRNA